rnacentral:rRNA from 1 species
UAGCAGCACCCCAAGUGGUAGCCGUCAUUAUUGGGCUUAAAGUGUUCGUAGCCGGCUCUGUAAGUCCGCUGUGAAAUCCACGCGCUCAACGUGUGGCCGUGCAGCGGAUACUGCAGGGCUAGGGACCGGACGGCGUCGAGGCUAUUCCCGGGGUAGGAGUGAAAUCCUAAAAUCCCGGGAGGAGCACCUGUGGCGAAAGCGCUCGACGAGUACGGAUCCGACGGUGAGGAACGAAAGCCAGAGGAGCAAA